GGAUUGUGGCUCAGUGGUAGAGCACUUGCCUAGCACGUGCAAGGCCCUGGGUUUGAUCCUCAGCACCA
rnacentral:tRNA from 1 species